AUCUGGCUAUGACCAUUCUCCGGGCCCAAAUCUUUUAAUGGCUCUUCAUUGCCCAAAGACAUUCUCCUAGCUCUCUUGCAGUGAAGAAAAGAAUACGUUUUUAACUAAAAUAUCUUCAAAGGGGGAAAAAAAGUUCUUUUGUCUGCCUCCCCAGGAUUACAUAUAAUCUUUAUAACAUGAGCUCAUAAAGGCAGAGGUUUUGCUUUCUUCAUCUUUUGUGUUCAGCAGGCCAUAGGGCACCCGGCUCAUAAUAUACAUUUAAUAAAUGAGUGAAACUGAAUUAAAAGAGAGAGAAAAUCAUGAAGAUCAAAGGCAAAUUAAGAAGCUGAGAAAGCAGCAGAGCAGAGUGAACAAGGGAAAAAAGACCUCAUUUUCAGCCAUGCUUUCCAUCAUCCCUUUCCAGCAUUUUAUGGCAGUUCCCUGGCAGGGCUCCCAUGCUGUAGCAAGCCAGGGAAGGGAGAUGGCAGAAUGAUGUUGCUCGUGGGAUUUUGCCCUGCUCUUUGAUUUUGAUGCUGUAGGGCAGGUGCAUUUUCUAAAUUACAUACUAAGGUGGCAGGUCAUUUUUAGCCCCACCUGGAAAAUGAGGUCUUAGUUUUCAACAGACAGGCAUUUCUGAGCAAAGCCCGGAGGCUCCCAGGUAAACUGGAAAACAGAUGCUCUUGCCAGAAGCAAACUUGGCUGGGGAGGCCUGGUAGAUACAGCAGCUGAAAGAUCCCAGACCUUGGCAACCUGCCAGCUGGCCAAAACCUAUAAAGGUCCGAGGUCUCAGGUUGCUGAAGUGGCAUGUUCAGGACUUUCUGGGACCCUGUUCUUUCAAGAUCUCCACAGUGCAAAAACGGAGGAUGUUGAGGAUCCAUCCAUACUGGCUCGGGCUUGGAGAGAGUGCUGGCUGCCUACCUCCCAACCCAAAGGAAACCUGCUCCUCUUGGGGAGAAUGGGCACAAGGGUUUCCCACAUUUCAGGGACCCUUACUCAGGGUAACCUUUCUCCCUUCAUCAUUUGCGGUCCAAUGAAAGGAAUGGGGCGCCCUUCCGACGUCACCCGCGGAGGGCGUGCGCAGCAGCUGAG
rnacentral:lncRNA from 1 species